rnacentral:rRNA from 1 species
CAGUAGCCGCGGUAAUACGAAGGGGGCUAGCGUUGUUCGGAAUUACUGGGCGUAAAGGGCGCGUAGGCGGCCGAUCAAGUCAGGCGUGAAAGCCCCGGGCUUAACCUGGGAACUGCGUUUGGGACUGGUUGGCUUGAGUUCGGGAGAGGAGAGUGGAAUUCCCAGUGUAGAGGUGAAAUUCGUAGAUAUUGGGAAGAACACCGGUGGCGAAGGCGGCUCUCUGGACCGAUACUGACGCUGAGGCGCGAAAGCGUGGGGAGCAAACAGGAUUAGAGACCCCUGUAGUCCCUGUCUCUUAUAA